GCUUCCCCCAUGCUGUUGUCCUCUUUCAAUAACAGAACACUGCAACCAGGACAGAGAACAGCGCCCCUAUCACUCUGCUAAAACGGUCAUGUUGGGGAUGGGGAGCGCCAGUGGUCUGAAACAAUGGGAGUGCAGAGCAAGGAUUGUGGGGGAAAAUCUUGUCUGGAGCCAGUGAGUCUGGAGCGCCCCUCUGCUCUCUCAUCCAGCUUUUGUUCAGCUGCAACAGCUAUCAGCACUUCCUACUGACACCAACAAUAACUCCACACAGCUGGGCCCUUUUAAUCUUGUUUACUGCACAUCAAGGCGAGGGGGAGGGCCAGGGGAGGGAGACAGAGAAAAGUGAAACAGAUUAGAUCCUGAUUUUAACUGACAGAGAGGAGGUUCUUUCUGUAGUGAUUCACUACAACUGGCUACUACUAAUUGAGGUGUAAAAAUGUUUUCUCGCUCUCUUCUCUCUCACUUCCCUGUUGUUGGAGCCUCCCAGAGUUGUUGUGACACACUGUGGUUUGGAAGCAGUUGGUUGUUUGUUGAAUUAUAUGAAUUGUCUGUGGUGGAAAUGUGGGGAAUUGUGGUCUCUCAACCUCUUUAUUUCUGAUUUUUUUUUUUGACGGAGCAACACCCGGCUGCAGACUGUGGACAGGAAA